AUAAAAUAAGUGUAAAACAAACGUAUAAUUUUGAGAAAAUGGCUCAAUUGUUUCUACCCGGCACCAAUCUGCUGGACUACGUUAAUAUUAUCAACACAA
rnacentral:ncRNA from 2 species